AUUUCAUCCAGAUACAGGACAGCGCAAAAGAGGUGCUGACAGACAUCAACAGGCCUACAAGCUGAGCAGGGAAUGUAAACGUGAGGCAAUGGGGCAGAACCAUGUACCCAGAGAAGAGGCUGCAAUUAGUGUGCAAUCUCACAUCUAUUUAGUGAAUGAUGGUAAAAAUGUUGAUUGACCGGGGAUGAUGGACAAAUAUAGUAUAUUUCUUACAGAACAUGGCAUUUGGGAAAGGAACAUUUCAUUUGAAUGAAAAAAAGAAGCCUGUGUUUCAAGUCACGUGUUUGUUUUAGUUUUACACAAUUUCCUUUUUAAUGUGUCACCACACAUGCAGUUAAUAUAAAUAAAUCAAUUCAGACCAAAAGGUCAA